rnacentral:lncRNA from 1 species
AAACAUUGAAUAUUGCCAAUAAUAAAAAAAACACACAAGUUUCUAUAAGGAUGAUAAUUGAUGAAUAACAAGAAAGUUCUUGAAUUUGCAUGAUUAACAAAAAAAUUAUAUGUCCGAAUGACUCACCAUUAAUUUUGUGAUCAGUAAGGGGAUUAGGAGGACUUUCACAAGCAGCUGUAAUUAGAUCAAAGAAAUUAUGAAUUAUUAAAAAAAACUUAAGUUAGAUAAAAAUAAAAUCUUUAUUUUUAAAGAAUAUUGCUAACUACUGAAUGAAGAAGAGUCAAAUUCAAAUAAAUAUUAUCAUAUGGUUGUAUCACCACUACUUUAUUAUAUCAUGGGAAGUCACGUUAUAACUCUUACCAAUUUUCUGAGCUUUCACAUAUUCUUGGUCCUUUUGGUCAUCCAAUGCCUCUUCUGAAUUGGAAAAAAUAUGUAAAAAAAAGUAAAUAAUUUAUGAAUCUAGCUUUUAUAUGAACAUUUCUGAUAUGUUUAUCUUUUUUUUUUUUUGAU